rnacentral:lncRNA from 13 species
CCCGCCCUUAAAGCUAUAUGUAGGCUACACCUCUCCCUUUUACAAUGAGCUCUCAACACAUGAGAAAUAUGAAUAUAUGAAUAGCUCACAUUCCUAUAAGUAAACAACAACACAUAUGUACGCAGAAUCGCAGCAGCAACCCAAAAUAUGAGUAGAAUAGCAACAGCCAUUACCUAGUCGUGUUUUGGGUAAUGAUAUACUGCACACAUAAUUUCCAUAGCAAUGUUUCCCCCCCACAUAGUUUAUGGAUGUCAUUUUGUACUUUAGCCUAUAGGCCGACUUUUUUACCCUCAAUAUUUCAAGGAUGCUCAUUGGGUACCAUGGUGAUGUCCAACAGCAAUAUCAGCCUGACCAUGACACCUUCUCAAAUAUUGCCUCAGUUAAACAGCAGAUCUACUCUCCAGUCCCUGGGCUCGAACCCCAGCAGGGACAUCAUAGACAUGCCAUACAGCGGUGGACCCCACUGUCCAUUGUGGGAACGACAUCCUGAUGUUCACAUUCCAGAAACAGGACACUCCAAACUUCUUAAUUGA